GACGAACGCUGGCGGCGCGCCUAACACAUGCAAGUUGAACGAGCAAAGAGGAGCUUGCUUCUCUGAGCGAGUGGCGAACGGGUGAGUAACGCGUGAGGAACCUGCCUCAAAGAGGGGGACAACAGUUGGAAACGACUGCUAAUACCGCAUAAGCCCACGGGUCGGCAUCGACCAGAGGGAAAAGGAGCAAUCCGCUUUGAGAUGGCCUCGCGUCCGAUUAGCUAGUUGGUGAGGUAAUGGCCCACCAAGGCGACGAUCGGUAGCCGGACUGAGAGGUUGAACGGCCACAUUGGGACUGAGACACGGCCCAGACUCCUACGGGAGGCAGCAGUGGGGAAUAUUGCACAAUGGGGGAAACCCUGAUGCAGCGACGCCGCGUGGAGGAAGAAGGUCUUCGGAUUGUAAACUCCUGU
rnacentral:rRNA from 1 species